rnacentral:lncRNA from 1 species
GGCUCAGGAGACCUGGGUUCAAAUCCCUCCUUGGCCUCCAAAACUUUCUGGAGAAUAGCAAAGGUAAACCACUCCUGGAAAAUCUUAGGUACUUCACAAAUCUUAUCAGGGUCACCAGAAGCUGGAACUACCUUGCCAUAAAAUGACAAUAAAAUUGCUCUUUUAAGAGUGGGGAGCCAUUAGAAGGAUUUAUAGAGAAGGUUUUCCUAGUACUUUCCUGCCUGUUUUGUGUGCUUCACAGAGCACAUUUCCCUCAGAGCUUUUUUGGACCACAACUCCCAGAAACCUUGGGUCACGAUGGCCAGUGGCCAUCCCCAUCUGGGAAUUCUGAGAAAUGGAAGUAAUUUUCCCAAGCUCUAGUUCAUCCUUUGAGAUCAAGUAACUAGAUGACUGUGCCUAAGAAAGAAAGAAAGAAAAAACCAACAUCUUUAAUUUUUAUCUGAUUGCACAUAGAUGGUCAUGAGGAAUGCCAGACAACAGGAGAGUGCAGGUUUUUGAACGAGGAGUCAGUCAUUCAGCCAAGAAAGAAGGACAAUCAACAAUAUCGAAGGUUGUGUGGCAGUUUGAACAAGCCAUGGACAAUGUGAAGAAAACCGUCCAGAGAACCUCAGAAAGGAACCUACUUUCUAGAAUUAAUGUGCAGCCAUGUUAGUUUCUGAAAGGUCUCUGAAGAGUGUCGUGAGCCCUCUUGAACACAAACCACAGUGGACUUGCCAGAAAGAUGGAACUGAACAUCAGAAACCAUUUUGCACAAACUGUUAUUAGCCUCUGUGUGGCCAUCUCUGCUCUCACUCUGCCCCAGGAUCCUGUUCCCUCUCAGCAGAUCCCUCCCUCCCCAGGAGUCUGACUUGCUGUGGCUCCCAGAGCCCCAGUCCUUAUCAAUACCUGGAACCAGAGCCCCUUCCUCUAAUUGGGAAACCAAGAGGGACAUGCCCAGGGAUGCAACGAUCCAGAUUGGCAGAUCUCUCCGAGCCCUCCCCCAGCCCCCAUAUCCCACCCCUGUGAGCCUCAUCCCAUCCCCCCACCUGUGGACCCCCAGACACCCUCACCCGACGGCUGUAGCUGCUGGGCUCCUGUGAGCGUGCCGGAGGCAAUGGCAGAGCAGGAAGGAGG